rnacentral:tRNA from 1 species
GGUUUUGUGGUGUAGUUGGUUAUCACGUUCGCCUCACAUCGAUUGAUCGCGAAAGGUCCCGAGUUCGAACCUCGGCGAAAUCA